ACGUAGGGGGCGAGCGUUGUCCGGAAAUACUGGGCGUAAAGGGUGCGUAGGUGGCCUUUUAAGUUGGAUGUGAAAUACCCGAGCUUAACUUGGGGGGUGCAUCUAAUACUGGGAGGCUAGAGUGCAGGAGAGGGAAGCGGAAUUCCUAGUGUAUCGGUGAAAUGCGUAGAGAUUAGGAGGAACCCCUGUGGCGAAGGCGGCCUUCAGGACUGGAACGGACGCUGAGGCACGAAAGCGUGGGGAGGAAAGUG
rnacentral:rRNA from 1 species